AGGGUGUAAACGCUGCAGACUUGGUGUUGGAAGUCCUUUGGGGGCAUUCAGUGCCGGAGAGAAGUUGUUAAGUCUGCUACUUGGGGAGUACGUCCGCAAGGAUGAAACUUAAAGGAAUUGGCGGGGGGAGCACCGCAACGGGAGGAGCGUGCGGUUUAAUUGGAUUCAACACCGUAAAACUCACCAGGGAAGAUUGUUACAUGAAAGCCGAGAUGAAGACUCUGCUAGAUUUUCAGAGAGGAGGUGCAUGGCGUCAGUGACU
rnacentral:rRNA from 1 species